rnacentral:rRNA from 1 species
CAGUCCACGCCGUAAACGAUGAUCACUCGCUGUAGGCGAUACACAGUCUGCGGCUAAGCGAAAGUUUUAAGUGAUCCACCUGGGGAGUACGAUCGCAAGAUUGAAACUCAAAGGAAUUGACGGGGGCCCGCACAAGCGGAGGAACAUGUGGUUUAAUUCGAUGAUACGCGAGGAACCUUACCUGGACUUAAAUGUAGAUUGCAUAGCUUAGAGAUAGGCUUUUCUUCGGACUAUUUACAAGGUGCUGCAUGGUUGUCGUCAGCUCGUGCCGUGAGGUGUCGGGUUAAGUCCCAUAACGAGCGCAACCCCUAUCCUUAGUUGCCAGCGGGUCAUGCCGGGGACUCUGAGGAGACUGCCACCGUAAGGUGUGAGGAAGGUGGGGAUGACGUCAAAUCAGCACGGCCCUUAUGACCAGGGCUACACACGUGCUACAAUGGUCGGUACAGAGGGCAGCUAAGCCGCGAGGUGGCGCAAAUCCCAGAAAGCCGAUCUCAGUCCGG